AGAGGUAAGGGUGAUCUGGCUGUGACAGUGUUGAUUUGGCUGCCCUGGCUGGUGAGGCAGCUGUCCCCUUCCUCCUUCACAGCUCCAUGUGCGUCUCUGCAGAAGCUGCGCGCUAGAUGGAAGAGGGUGACCUUCUUGGAAAAUAGGACAGGUCUUCUGUCAAGUGUAUUCAGUAGCUGCCAUCCCCUGCUAGAAUCUCCAGACAAGCUCUCAAACUAAUUCUGAAGUGGGAUUUAGGGAAAUACUGGAAUCCUUCCCAGACAACUUUUGUAUGGUUUGCCACUACCUACAGCAUCAU
rnacentral:snRNA from 1 species